rnacentral:rRNA from 1 species
UAGGGAAUCUUCGGCAAUGGGGGCAACCCUGACCGAGCAACGCCGCGUGAGUGAAGAAGUUUUUCGGAUCGUAAAGCUCGGUUUUAAGAGAAAAACGUGUGUGAGAGUGGAAAGUUCACACAGUGACGGUAACUUACCAGAAAGGGACGGCUAACUACGUGCCAGCAGCCGCGGUAAUACGUAGGUCCCGAGCGUUGUCCGGAUUUAUUGGGCGUAAAGCGAGCGCAGGCGGUUUAAUAAGUCUGAAGUUAAAGGCAGUGGCUUAACCAUUGUUCGCUUUGGAAACUGUUAAACUUGAGUGCAGAAGGGGAGAGUGGAAUUCCAUGUGUAGCGGUGAAAUGCGUAGAUAUAUGGAGGAACACCGGUGGCGAAAGCGGCUCUCUGGUCUGUAACUGACGCUGAGGCUCGAAAGCGUGGGGAGCAAACAGG